rnacentral:antisense_RNA from 1 species
CUUCAGCGAACCCAGCCACAACGGCCGCUCACGAUUCCGGCCGUAGGUGGCCAGCAGCGCCUGCGCCUC